CGGACGGGUGAGUAACGCGUGGAAAACCUGCCGUAUACUGGGGGAUAACACUUAGAAAUAGGUGCUAAUACCGCAUAAGCGCAUAGCUUCGCAUGAAGCGGUGUGAAAAACUCUGGUGGUAUACGAUGGUUCCGCGUCUGAUUAGCUAGUUGGUGGGGUAAUGGCCUACCAAGGCAACGAUCAGUAGCCGGUCUGAGAGGGUGAACGGCCACAUUGGGACUGAGACACGGCCCAAACUCCUACGGGAGGCAGCAG
rnacentral:rRNA from 1 species